rnacentral:misc_RNA from 1 species
CCGAGUUGACAAACUCCCAAACCCCGUGUGAACCUUUACCGUCCCCGUUGCUUCGGCGGUGCCGCCCCGGGCGCGGGCCUCUCGCAGGCCGCCAGCCCCGGAACCAGGCGCCCGCCGGAGGACCCCCAAAACCCCUGUAUUCUAGCGUCUUCCUCUGAGUUUGCGGCUCUCCACGAGCGGCAUGAAAAAAAAAUGAAUCA